rnacentral:tRNA from 1 species
GAGGGUAUGGCUCAGAGGCAGAGUGCAUGCUUAGCACGCGAGAGGUCCUGGGUUCAAUCCUCAGUACCGUCA